rnacentral:rRNA from 1 species
AAAUUGAAGAGUUUGAUCAUGGCUCAGAUUGAACGCUGGCGGCAGGCCUAACACAUGCAAGUCGAACGGUAACAGGAAACAGCUUGCUGUUUCGCUGACGAGUGGCGGACGGGUGAGUAAUGUCUGGGAAACUGCCUGAUGGAGGGGGAUAACUACUGGAAACGGUAGCUAAUACCGCAUAACGUCGCAAGACCAAAGAGGGGGACCUUCGGGCCUCUUGCCAUCGGAUGUGCCCAGAUGGGAUUAGCUAGUAGGUGGGGUAACGGCUCACCUAGGCGACGAUCCCUAGCUGGUCUGAGAGGAUGACCAGCCACACUGGAACUGAGACACGGUCCAGACUCCUACGGGAGGCAGCAGUGGGGAAUAUUGCACAAUGGGCGCAAGCCUGAUGCAGCCAUGCCGCGUGUAUGAAGAAGGCCUUCGGGUUGUAAAGUACUUUCAGCGGGGAGGAAGGGAGUAAAGUUAAUACCUUUGCUCAUUGACGUUACCCGCAGAAGAAGCACCGGCUAACUCCGUGCCAGCAGCCGCGGUAAUACGGAGGGUGCAAGCGUUAAUCGGAAUUACUGGGCGUAAAGCGCACGCAGGCGGUUUGUUAAGUCAGAUGUGAAAUCCCCGGGCUCAACCUGGGAACUGCAUCUGAUACUGGCAAGCUUGAGUCUCGUAGAGGGGGGUAGAAUUCCAGGUGUAGCGGUGAAAUGCGUAGAGAUCUGGAGGAAUACCGGUGGCGAAGGCGGCCCCCUGGACGAAGACUGACGCUCAGGUGCGAAAGCGUGGGGAGCAAACAGGAUUAGAUACCCUGGUAGUCCACGCCGUAAACGAUGUCGACUUGGAGGUUGUGCCCUUGAGGCGUGGCUUCCGGAGCUAACGCGUUAAGUCGACCGCCUGGGGAGUACGGCCGCAAGGUUAAAACUCAAAUGAAUUGACGGGGGCCCGCACAAGCGGUGGAGCAUGUGGUUUAAUUCGAUGCAACGCGAAGAACCUUACCUGGUCUUGACAUCCACGGAAGUUUUCAGAGAUGAGAAUGUGCCUUCGGGAACCGUGAGACAGGUGCUGCAUGGCUGUCGUCAGCUCGUGUUGUGAAAUGUUGGGUUAAGUCCCGCAACGAGCGCAACCCUUAUCCUUUGUUGCCAGCGGUCCGGCCGGGAACUCAAAGGAGACUGCCAGUGAUAAACUGGAGGAAGGUGGGGAUGACGUCAAGUCAUCAUGGCCCUUACGACCAGGGCUACACACGUGCUACAAUGGCGCAUACAAAGAGAAGCGAACUCGCGAGAGCAAGCGGACCUCAUAAAGUGCGUCGUAGUCCGGAUUGGAGUCUGCAACUCGACUCCAUGAAGUCGGAAUCGCUAGUAAUCGUGGAUCAGAAUGCCACGGUGAAUACGUUCCCGGGCCUUGUACACACCGCCCGUCACACCAUGGGAGUGGGUUGCAAAAGAAGUAGGUAGCUUAACCUUCGGGAGGGCGCUUACCACUUUGUGAUUCAUGACUGGGGUGAAGUCGUAACAAGGUAACCGUAGGGGAACCUGCGGUUGGAUCACCUCCUUACCUUAAAGAAGC